rfam:Toxocara canis scaffold1170, whole genome shotgun sequence.
CGGGCAGUAGCUCAGUGGUAGAGCUACCGCUGCGUAUGCGGGAAAAACUGGGUUCGAUUCCCGGCUGCUUAC